UACAGAGGGUGCGAGCGUUUGUCCGGAAUCACUGGGCGUAAAGGGCGCGUAGGUGGUGGCUUAAGCGUGCGGUGAAAGCUCGGAGCUCAACUCCGAGUCGGCCGUGCGAACUGGGCUCACUGGAGCAUAGUAGAGGCAGGUGGAAUUCCGGGUGUAGCGGUGGAAUGCGUAGAGAUCCGGAAGAACACCGGUGGCGAAGGCGGCCUGCUGGGCUAUGGCUGACACUGAGGCGCGCAGCGUGGGGAGCAAACAGG
rnacentral:rRNA from 1 species